AAUCAACGCUGGCGGCGUGCCUAACACAUGCAAGUCGCACGAGAAAGGGGCUUCGGCCCUGAGUACAGUGGCGCACGGGUGAGUAACACGUGAAUCAUCUACCUUCGAGUGGGGAAUAACUGGGAGAAAUCUCAGCUAAUACCGCAUAAUACCUACGGGUCAAAGCAGCAAUGCGCUUGAAGAGGAGUUCGCGGCAGAUUAGUUAGUUGGCAGGGUAAUGGCCUACCAAGACGAUGAUCUGUAUCCGGCCUGAGAGGGCGCACGGACACACUGGAACUGAAACACGGUCCAGACUCCUACGGGAGGCAGCAGUGGGGAAUUUUGCGCAAUGGGGGAAACCCUGACGCAGCAACGCCGCGUGGAGGAUGAAAUCCCUUGGGAUGUAAACUCCUUUCGAUAGGGAAGAUAAUGACGGUACCUAUAGAAGAAGCCCCGGCUAACUUCGUGCCAGCAGCCGCGGUAAUACGAGGGGGGCAAGCGUGUCGGAAUUAUGGGGCGUAAAGGGUGCGUAGGCGGUCUGACAAGUCUGAUGUGAAAUCUAUGGGCUCAACCCAUAGGUCUGCAUCGGAAACUGUCGGCCUGAGUAU
rnacentral:rRNA from 1 species